rnacentral:lncRNA from 1 species
GUUUGCAACUACGUGUCCCAGACUGCAUCCCUGCUGAGAGUCCCUCCCUCCCUUCUCAUAUUGCAGGAAGAACGUAAGCGCCCGCCCCUUGUCAAUCAGUCACCAUAUAAUUUUGGAUUGGUUGUUGUGGUGAAGUUUUCCACCAAUAGGAGAGAUGUUGUGGUGUGUUUUUUUUUUCCUUUGGCAAGCCUUUUCCGCCUGUAAGACCUGUCGCUAAUGUCUGCAUGCUAUGUUUUCCUGUCUCAUACAGCGCGAUCGAGCGCCGAACGUGAUCAAAAUAAGCAGAAAACAAGUAUCGCGGACAUAAUUUAUCAUAACUCUGGUUUUAUUUGGCCUAUCAACACAAUUUAAAAACUGGUAUAUAGGUUGAGGUCCUCACUUUUGAGAUAAGUUGAAACGGAGUCAACGAGGCUCCGUCUUGCAGCUACAUCCGGUUAAAUAUGUCAUGUGACUUGAACGCACACACACACACACACACACACACACACACACAGACACACACACACACGCACACACACACACUCAGAGUCUGGUUUUUAGCACCUGCAAAAACAUGCUAUUUACAUAUUUGACAAGAAUGCAGAGGCUCCUUUUGCCCCUGAAAAAAAUCAAAUUUCAAACACAACUUGACUGGUCAUUUCUCCAAAAGACAACCAUGAAGCUCCAUCCAAACCUGAAGCAGGCAGUUGGUGCAUGUGUACAGUAACCUGAGGGGAGUGAGGUGACUGCUUCUGAGGAGAACAUGAGCAGUGAAGAUUCACCUUAGAGCUAGAACAGAGACGUGCACAUGAUUAUACAGGGGCAGGGGCUCAAGUUUUUUCCAGUUGUUUAUACAAUAUGGAAAUUAAUGUGAAAUUAAAAAACAAAGUAUUAAUAGAAAGGUAAUGACUGUCCUGAGUAGGUGACAGUGAUAUCCAAUAGGCUAGGCACUCAAGAGGCUGGCUGUGGCAAGUGUAAGUGAAAGCAACACGCACUGGCAGGAAGAACAGCAAACGCCGAUGAAGGAAAAGGGUCUUUGCAGUGAUGGGCGUUACCAGAGAGGACGAUGGCCAGAGGACACAAAUGGGACGGGGAGGCAGCGCGUUGGGGGGGGGGCGCGACACAGCUCGGGCCCGCCAGUGCCCCAACGGGGUCCUAGUUAUUUUUCCUCCCCUUUGAACUGGAAAAUGGCCCACUUCCCACUGGCGAAAACUCAUGAAAUUUGGCAGGACGACCGGGCCUGGUGAAAAAUUUGAUAUUCCGAAGUCGCCCAAACAAGAAAAUGCAAAAUGGCUCCAUAGCGCCCCCUAAGGUGAAAAAUUCACCUGACGCCUGUACGCUUUGUCAAAAUGACACAAAAAUUGACACACACAUGUAUCUCAAUAAGAUCUACAAAAAAGUCAGUGCGGGCGUAUCUGUCAAAUGUACGGUUAAAGGGUUAUUGCGCAUUUUUUGCCGAUCCGCACACAUUGGAAUUUCGCUAACUCCUCCGAAGGCUUUCGUUCCACCGGCACCACAUUUGCUCAGGCCAAUCUACACCCCAUGGCCAUUAAAAGUUAUUCAAAUCAUGACGCUGCACCCCACGGUUUAGGUUCUAGGGGGCGCCAAAGAUAACACUAAAAUCCACAUAUUUCAAAGUCUUAUAACUUUUUAUUUUUGUCCUCACUGGCCUCCAAGUUUUCUAGGAUGAUGCAAUGUCCAGCCAUCAACACAUUUGUGAAGGAAUUUUUACUCCCCAAAAGAGCGCCCCCCCAUGGCAGGAGAAAAAAGUCCAUUUUUUCUUGUCCCCUAAGGUGGAAAUUCACACUAUUGACUGUCACGCCUGUACGCUUUGUCAUAUUGACACAAAAAUUGACACACAUAUGUAUCUCAAUAAGAUCUACAAAAAAGUCAGUGCGGCCGUAUCUGUCAAAAUUACGGUUAAAGGGUUAUUUUGCAUUUUUUGCCGAUCCGCACACAUUGGAAUUUCGCUAACUCCUCCGAAGGCUUUCGUUCCACCGGCACCACAUUUGCUCAGGCCAAUCUACACCCCGUGGCCAUUAAAAGUUGUAAAAAUCAUGACGCUGCACCCCACGGUUUACGUUCUAGGGGGCGCCAAAGAUGACCCAAAAAUCCACAUUCUUAAAGGAAUCCACAUCCCCCCCCCCCCCCCAAGGCAGGAGAAAAAGUCAAGUUUACCCUGCCCAUCGCUCAAUGGCUCAAUCGCAUCGCU